GUCCACGCCGUAAACGAUGGAUACUAGCUGUUCGGAGCAAUCUGAGUGGCUAAGCGAAAGUGAUAAGUAUCCCACCUGGGGAGUACGUUCGCAAGAAUGAAACUCAAAAGGAAUUGACGGGGCCCGCACAAGCGGUGGAGUAUGUGGUUCAAUUCGACGCAACGCGAAAAAACCUUACCUAGGCUUGACAUCCCGCGCAUAAACCAUGAAAAGUGGUGAAAAUCUCGCAAAGAGACGCGGUGACAGGUGCUGCAUGGCUGUCGU
rnacentral:rRNA from 1 species